rnacentral:rRNA from 1 species
GACGAACGCUGGCGGCGGGCUUAACACAUGCAAGUCGAACGGAAAGGCCCUGCUUGCGUGGGGUUCUCGAGUGGCGAACGAGUGAGUAAGACGUGAGUAACCUGCUCUCCAUUUUGGGGUAACUUCAGGAAACUGGGCCUAAUACAGGAUAGGAGCUCCUGCUGCGUGGUGGGGGUUGGAUAUUUGCGGCGGUGGGGGAUGGACUCGCGGCUUAUCAGCUUGUUGGUGGGGUAGUGGUAUACCAAGGCCUAGACGGGUAGCCGGCCUGAGAGGGGGACCGGCCACAUGGCGCCUGAGAUACGGCACAGAGUCGUACGGGAGGCAGCGGUGGGGAGUCUUGUCCAAUGGGCCGAAGCCGGGUGCAGGAACACCGCGUUCGGGAUGACAGCCUUCGGGUAGAGAACAGCUUUCGCCUGUGACGAAGCGUGAGUGACGGUAACGGAUGAAGAAGCACCGGCUAACUACGUG